rnacentral:rRNA from 1 species
UACGUAGGGUGCGAGCGUUAAUCGGAAUUACUGGGCGUAAAGCGUGCGCAGGCGGUUUUGUAAGCCAGAUGUGAAAUCCCCGGGCUUAACCUGGGAAUGGCAUUUGGGACUGCAAGGCUGGAGUGUGGCAGAGGAGACUGGAAUUCCUGGUGUAGCAGUGAAAUGCGUAGAUAUCAGGAGGAAUACCGAUGGCGAAGGCGGGUCUCUGGGCAGUAACUGACGCUGAGGAGCGAAAGCGUGGGGAGCGAACAGG